UAAGGAAUAUUGGUCAAUGGAGGCAACUCUGAACCAGCCAUGCCGCGUGCAGGAUGACGGCCCUCUGGGUUGUAAACUGCUUUUAUUCGGGAAUAAACCUACUUACGUGUAAGUAGCUGAAUGUACCGAAGGAAUAAGGAUCGGCUAACUCCGUGCCAGCAGCCGCGGUAAUACGGAGGAUCCAAGCGUUAUCCGGAUUUAUUGGGUUUAAAGGGUGCGUAGGCGGCCUAUUAAGUCAGGGGUGAAAGACGGUAGCUCAACUAUCGCAGUGCCUUUGAUACUGAUGGGCUUGAAUACACUAGAGGUAGGCGGAAUGUGACAAGUAGCGGUGAAAUGCAUAGAUAUGUCACAGAACACCGAUUGCGAAGGCAGCUUACUAUGGUGUGAUUGACGCUGAGGC
rnacentral:rRNA from 1 species